rnacentral:rRNA from 1 species
UACGUAGGGGGCAAGCGUUAUCCGGAUUUACUGGGUGUAAAGGGAGCGUAGACUGUAAAGCAAGUCUGAAGUGAAAUGCCAGUGCUCAACACUGGAACUGCUUUGGAAACUGUUUGGCUGGAGUGCAGGAGAGGUAAAUGGAAUUCCUAGUGUAGCGGUGAAAUGCGUAGAUAUUAGGAGGAACACCAGUGGCGAAGGCGGCUUACUGGACUGUAACUGACGUUGAGGCUCGAAAGCGUGGGGAGCAAACAGG